CGGACGAACGCAAACCCCGGUCUCCGCCUGCCCCAAUCCCCACUCCAGGCCGUCAUCCCCAACCCACCAUGAGGACAAGGAUGCCGAGCUCAGGCGGCGGCGCUGGUCCGGGCCUCCGAGGGAUCAGACCAUCCUCCGUCGACCUCUGCUUCCUCUUCCUCAAGACCUUGGCCGCCUGGUGCAGGGGAGACCGCAGCUCCGCGCUCGUAGGCCUGCCCAAUCCUCCUCUUGCUCCUCGCGAUGCUCUUCCCUUCCCCCGUCCAGCCCCCGCCAGUGCCGCCUCGCUGUCCCCGCUCGCGGCCAUCUCCAACGCCUCCUCCCACGCCAACGCCCACCCCGGAUGCCACCUUCUUUGACGCGACGUCAUCGACGUCGUCGCUAACAAGUACGGCUGGGACCCCGACACGGAGGUCCGGGUCUGGCCGCUCAACACCGAGGGCGCGCUCAUCGGCGCCGUUCAGCGGUACGAGUUCCGCGCCGGUGCGGGGGGCGCCGCGGUCGCGCUGGCACGGGCCUCUGACGGGGCCGUCAACUGGAGCCGCCCCGAGGCCCCCGCGGUGGAGGAGGUGGUCUGGCCCGACGGGGUCGACUUCGUCGCCGGCGACGGUGCCCUGGCGUUCGGCACCGGCGUCAGGGACAUGGACAUAGUAGGCCCGUUCGAGCUGGUGGUCUCCGAUGGCGCUGGCGGGGGCCUCGCAGAGCUCUAGCUGCCGUCGGUGUCCUGUCUCCGGCGUUCUUGAGCACCACUGGGUCGAGGAAGGAGAAGCCAUCCUAUGGACUAGAACAGUUUGUGUGAGAUUUUAUUUUCUGGUGGGUUUAUUAGCUGGCUUGGAAAUGCUCCCCAUCAACACAAAGAUUGUCAGCCUUUACCCAAUUGCAAGAUCUUCAGAAUAAAAAAGGGGAGACUGAGACCGGUAGAAAAGAGAUUCUUCAGUACACAAUAUAUGCAUCUGUUGAUUUUGCAAUUUCCAGGUUAGAUUAUCUGAAAUAUUCAAGGAUCUCUUGGACAUUUUUUGGGCAUUGUUGAUCCAUGAAUCAGCUGUUUUCGAAUUCGGAAACAGUUGAAUUCCUGGCAAACCAUUUCACCACACAUGUUCAGUUUGUCAUUUUGAGUCCAUGCCCCCUGCUUACACAGCGGCGAGGCCAACCAGGGCGUACAGGGGCGGAGUCAGCAGCUUGGUAGUGCGUCCAUUUAUGCGUGGCGGCCUGCGGAUUUGGGUGCAUGACAGCCGGCCAACAUGCUGUGUGGGCGUGAUGUUAUCGGCAUGUUGUACACGAGUGUUGGCUGCCAGAGGCGCGCGUGGCUGACCGAUAUGUGUGUGGCUCGACGACAAGUGUUGUCGUCAUGAGGCCAGACGACUUGUUGUGCCAAUCCGGUGAGAGCAUCCAAUAGCGGAAAGUCAUCUGAAGAAUCAUGUCCAGUGAGUAGUCCAGCUCCAGCAACAAGACCACAUCUGGUUUCCACGAACAAGCUGGACCAGCGGCAUUGUACUCGGGUAAGCACGUGAAAAUUCUUCCAAUCCAGACAUUUUAUACUGAUAGCUAACAUCAGCUUACUGUGGUUUAUAUGGUCCAUGUAAAGCUGGCAUCGCGCGGCUACACUUCCAGCAAUUUUACUUGCUAACAAAAAUCAAGUAAAACUAAAAGAAUAGUUCUUUA